rnacentral:lncRNA from 1 species
CGUGAGCUGACGUCACCGGCCAAGGGGCCUGGAGGCAGACGCGCAUGCGUGUGAGGGUGCGUCGGGCGGGAGCCCUUGACGUCCCGGGUCGUCCUCCGGCGGAGUGAGCCCGGGGUGGCCAUCCCUGCGUCGGGCUCCCUGCGUCGGGCUCCCUGCGCCGGGCUCCCUGCGCCCGAGGCGCAUCCCUUCCCAGGCGGCAGGGGCCUGUGCUCUGCCCGCUCCCGCCCUAGGGCAGCCCCAAGCUCAGGGCGCCCCGGGCCCCCGCACGGCGCUGCGGGCGGAGCCUUAGCUCUCCCCUGGGGAGUUUCAGUUUCGCACGAACGAACAUUCGCGGCUCCCCCGAAGAGGGCCUUGCGCCCAUUAGGCCCCGUUACCGUUUCUGCCUCCUCUUCGUCCCGGCACCUGUCAGACCGUGUUCUGUUUCUCGAGUCGCCUGUUCCAGCAUGUCACUGAAGUGGAACCCUAGGACACGUGACAUUUCUCUUAUUUGGGUCGGCAUGAUUCCAGAAUGCGCCAGCAUCGGAGUUUAAGCUGGAAAACGAGUCUACACAGUGAUUGGGCACGUUCGUGGGGUGCAGCGUGACAACUCAACACAUGCAGACAGGGUGCUUGGCAUAUCCGACAUCUCAGACCUUUGGAACAUUUGAAACUGACUGGCUCCUGGAAACACACAUUUAAGUAUUUUCAAACAUGAUCGCGCUGCUGUGCACAUGUGAGGGUACUCCUCCUGUCCAGCUGCGUUCCGUCCCCACUGGCCAUCCUCUCUCCGCCUCCUGCCCCACACCCUUCUCAGGCCCCGUAGUCACAUCCUACUCUCCACUCCCCGUGAGGUCAGCUGUUUAGACUCUACUGUAAGCGAGAACCCGUGGUAUUUGUAUUUCUGUGCCUACAUUUCACUGCACACAAUGCCCUCCAGUUCCAUCUGUAUUUCUGUAAACGGCAGAAUCCCACCUGCUCGAGGCAAAUAGUAUUCCAUUGUUUAUAUCUACCAUGUUUUCCUAAUUCCUUCAUCCGCUGAUGGACACCUGGGUGGUUCCAUGCUCUGGCUGUUGUGAAUAGCGUUGUGAUAAACAUGGGUGUGCAGACGUCUCUGACAUACUGAUUUUAUUUCUUUUAGAUGUGUACCUGGUUGUGGGAUUGCUGGGUCGGACGGCUGCUUUAUUUCUAGAUUUUUGAAGAACCUCUGUACUGGUUUUGUAGUGACCGUAACACCUUCCGUCCCCAACAAUGGUGGAUGAGAGCCUCCUUUCUCUGAGCCGUCCACAGCAUUUGUUAUCUUCUUUCUUUUUGAUAGCAGCCCCUCUUACUAGGGUAAGAUAAAGUCUCAUGGUGCUUUUGAUUUACAUUUCCCUGAUAGCAAUAUCACCCACUUUUUAUUUUACUUCUAUUGGCCAUUUGUAUUUUUUUGAGAAAUACCUAUUCAGAUCAUUUGCCCA